rnacentral:rRNA from 1 species
GGGGGGGGGGGGGGGGGGGGUGGGGGGGGGGGGGGCGGGGGGGCAUCUUCGGAGGUCGGCGGCAGAGGGGUGGGUGACCCGGGGGGGCGUACCCUUCGGUUCGGAACAGCUCUGGGACACUGGGGCUAAUCCCGGAUACGCCCUUAGGGGGAAAGGUUUACUGCCGCAGGAUCGGCCCGCGUCUGAUUAGCUGGUUGGUGGGGUAACGGCCUACCAAGGCGACGAUCAGUAGCUGGUCUGAGAGGAUGAUCAGCCACACUGGGACUGAGACACGGCCCAGACUCCUACGGGAGGCAGCAGUGGGGAAUAUUGGACAAUGGGCGCAAGCCUGAUCCAGCCAUGCCGCGUGAGUGAUGAAGGCCUUAGGGUUGUAAAGCUCCUUUGUCCGGGACGAUAAUGACGGUACCGGAAGAAUAAGCCCCGGCUAACUUCGUG